rnacentral:rRNA from 1 species
GAAGACCACUAAACGUUGUAAAGUACUAAGCUCGGGGAUAAUAAUGACGGUACCCGAGUAAAAAGCCCUGACUAACUUCGUGCCAGCAGUCGCGGUAAAACGGAGAGGGCAAGUGUUAUUCGUAUUGACUGGGUGUAAAGGGUACGUAGGCGGUUAUUUAAGUUAUAAAAAAAAGCUAUAUCUUUUUAUAAUACUAUAUGACUAGAGUUAAAAAGGGGAUGGCGGUACCUCCAGUUUAGAAGUGACAUUCGUUUGAGAUUGGGGGGACCAACAAUAGGCGACGGCUGCUUUCCAUUUUUAUACUGACGCUGAGGUACGAAAGCAUGGGGAGCGAACAGGAUUAGAGACCCUGGUAGUCCAUGCCCUGACCUAUGAAUAUUAAUCGUCCAUUUAGAUAGUGGAUGACUAAGCUAACGCGAAAAUAUUCCACCUGAGGACUACGGCCGCAAGGUUAAAACUCAAAGAAAUUGGCGGAAGAUCGUUUAAGCGGUGGAGUAUGUGGUUUAAUUCGAUAAUACGCGAAAAACCUUACCAAUCUUUGUGCACAUUUUCGGUUAUACAAAACUCGUAGUCUGGAUUGAGGUGGUCAAUUUGGACUAAUUAUGUGCCAGGCGUUGCAUGGCUGUCGUAAGCUCGUGUCUUAGGAUGUGUGGUUAACUCCAUGAACGGGCGCAACCCUUGUUCCUAAUUAGAUUAGGAAUGAAAACAGUGAAAACUGCUUUUGAGGAUGAGGAGUAUGUCAAGUCAAUAUGACCUUUAUAGAUUGGGCUACACACGUACUACAACGGUAGUUACAAUGAGAAACAAUGCCGUGAGGCGGAGUAAAUCUCUAAAAUCUACCCUAGUUCGGAUUAUUUUUUGAAAUAAAAAUAUGAAGCCGGAAUCGCUAGUAAUCGCAAAAAAGAAUGUUGCGGUGAAUAUUAAGACCGAUCUUAGUACACACCGCCCGUCACGCCAUGGAAGCUUGUUUGGUUUGAAGAUAUUAAGUCACAUGUUUCGAAGU